UGGUCGAUUCCCUGCGAGAGGAAACAAGAGAGAGAGAGAGGGUGAGAACCAGAGGGAGAGACGAGAGCACGUGAGGAGAGGGAUGGCGAGGGAGUCCCGUUCCCGGUGCUGGGGGCGCUCAACGAAGCUCCGGCGGCCACAACUUGCGCACCAACACAUGGGCUGCUGACAAACAGGAAACCAACAAGAGGAGUUUCAGAGCAGAGGAAAGAAAAGGAGGAAGGAGGAGAGAACAGCAUGGCGGGGCACUCGCCUGGAUGCGCUGAUGGUGCUGCAUGCCGGCGCCACGCUAGACGCACGAGAUGAGCCUGGGACGAACUCGAGCUCCGGUGGCUGAGAAGGAGGUGGCUUGGGGCAUGGAGCUCGGGCACGGGAGGACCUCCAACUGCUGCUCCCGAUCCCCGUGGAUUGAAGCACGGGAGGAGGCUUGGAGACGAGGUCGAGCGCGGGAGGCCGACACUUCGAUGGAUGGAUGGAUUUGGGUGGCUGGCUUCGUCUGGCUGCAGUGGAUCUGGGGAUUGGCUGGUGGUUGAAACUGAGGGAGGAAAGGAUCCCGAGGAAGAAGAGUGACUCGGCGG
rnacentral:lncRNA from 1 species